rnacentral:SRP_RNA from 1 species
GCCGGGCGCAGUGGCACGUGCCUGUAGUCCCAGCUCCUCGGGAGGCCGAGGCCAGAGGAUCUCUUGAAUCCAGGAGUUGUGGGCUGUUGCCCUACACCAGUCAGGUGUCCACACUAAGUUCGGCAUCAAUAUGGUGACCUCCCGGGAGUGGGGGACCACCAGGUUGCCUAAGGAGGGGUGAACCAGCCCAGGUCAGAAACGGAGCAGGUCAAAACUCCCGUGCUGAUUAGUAGUGGGUUCACACCUGUGAAUAGCCACUGCACUCCAGCCUGGGCAGCAUAGCGAGAUUCCGUCUCU